rnacentral:rRNA from 1 species
AGCUUGCUGGGUGGAUCAGUGGCGAACGGGUGAGUAACACGUGAGCAACCUGCCCCCUACUUCGGGAUAAGCCUUGGAAACGAGGUCUAAUACCGGAUAUGAGUGCCUGCCGCAUGGUGGGUGCUGGAAAGUUUUUCGGUGGGGGAUGGGCUCGCGGCCUAUCAGCUUGUUGGUGGGGUAAUGGCCUACCAAGGCGUCGACGGGUAGCCGGCCUGAGAGGGCGACCGGCCACACUGGGACUGAGACACGGCCCAGACUCCUACGGGAGGCAGCAGUGGGGAAUAUUGCACAAUGGGCGAAAGCCUGAUGCAGCGACGCCACGUGAGGGAUGACGGCCUUCGGGUUGUAAACCUCUUUCAGCAGGGAAGAAGCGAAAGUGACGGUACCUGCAGAAGAAGCGCCGGCUAACUACGUGCCAGCAGCCGCGGUAAUACGUAGGGCGCAAGCGUUGUCCGGAAUUAUUGGGCGUAAAGAGCUCGUAGGCGGUCUGUCGCGUCUGGUGUGAAAUCCCAUGGCUCAACUGUGGGCUUGCAUCGGGUACGGGCAGACUAGAGUGCUGUAGGGGAGACUGGAAUUCCUGGUGUAGCGGUGGAAUGCGCAGAUAUCAGGAGGAACACCGAUGGCGAAGGCAGGUCUCUGGGCAGUUACUGACGCUGAGGAGCGAAAGCAUGGGGAGCGAACAGGAUUAGAUACCCUGGUAGUCCAUGCCGUAAACGUUGGGCACUAGGUGUGGGGCGGGUUCCACUCGUUCUGUGCCGUAGCUAACGCAUUAAGUGCCCCGCCUGGGGAGUACGGCCGCAAGGCUAAAACUCAAAGGAAUUGACGGGGGCCCGCACAAGCGGCGGAGCAUGCGGAUUAAUUCGAUGCAACGCGAAGAACCUUACCAAGGCUUGACAUGUACGAGAACGCGUUAGAGAUAACGAA